rnacentral:piRNA from 1 species
UCACGUAUGUCAGGCAUAGUUGUGGAC